UAAUGAGGUGAUAAUGAGGUGGUAAUGAUAUGCUAAUGAGGGGGUAAUGAGACACUAAUGAUAUGGAUCAGUCACCGUGUGGCGCUACUGCACCGAGAUCUUCGACUACCUCAGCCUGUCCGCCAUCAUCGACGGCAAGGUAUGCUAAUGAGAUGCUAAUGAGGUGGUAAUGAGAUGCUAAUGAGGUGGUAAUGAGACACUAAUGAUAUGGAUCAGUCACCGUGUGGCGCUACUGCACCGAGAUCUUCGACUACCUCAGCCUGUCCGCCAUCAUCGACGGCAAGGUAUGCUAAUCACAUGCUAAUGAGGUGAUAAUGAGGUGGUAAUGAUAUGCUAAUGAGGGGGUAAUGAGACACUAAUGAUAUGGAUCAGUCACCGUGUGGCGCUACUGCACCGAGAUCUUCGACUACCUCAGCCUGUCCGCCAUCAUCGACGGCAAGGUAUGCUAAUCACAUGCUAAUGAGGUGAUAAUGAGGUGGUAAUGAUAUGCUAAUGAGGGGGUAAUGAGACACUAAUGAUAUGGAUCAGUCACCGUGUGGCGCUACUGCACCGAGAUCUUCGACUACCUCAGCCUGUCCGCCAUCAUCGACGGCAAGGUAUGCUAAUCACAUGCUAAUGAGGUGGUAAUGAGACACUAAUGAUAUGGAUCAGUCACCGUGUGGCGCUACUGCACCGAGAUCUUCGACUACCUCAGCCUGUCCGCCAUCAUCGACGGCAAGGUAUGCUAAUGAGGUGGUAAUGACAUGGUAAUGAGGUGGUAAUGAGAUGGUAAUGAGGGGGUAAUGAGACACUAAUGAUAUGGAUCAGUCACCGUGUGGCGCUACUGCACCGAGAUCUUCGACUACCUCAGCCUGUCCGCCAUCAUCGACGGCAAGGUAUGCUAAUGAGGUGGUAAUGAGAUGCUAAUGAGGUGGUAAUGAGGUGGUAAUGAGGGGGUAAUGAUAUGGAUCAGUCACCGUGUGGCGCUACUGCACCGAGAUCUUCGACUACCUCAGCCUGUCCGCCAUCAUCGACGGCAAGGUAUGCUAAUCACAUGCUAAUGAGGUGGUAAUGAGA